rnacentral:rRNA from 1 species
GGAACAAGUAAAAGUAUCCUACAAGCUCCAGAUCCUGUCCGAUCUUGGAAAUUAAGCAGAAUCAGUCUUGGUUAGUACUUGGAUAAAACAUUGCCAGUGAAUACUAGGCACUGCAGGCU